UACGUAGGGUGCGAGCGUUGUCCGGAAUUACUGGGCGUAAAGGGCUCGUAGGCGGCCAACUAAGUCAGACGUGAAAUCCCUCGGCUUAACCGGGGAACUGCGUCUGAUACUGGAUGGCUUGAGUGUGGGAGAGGGAUGCGGAAUUCCAGGUGUAGCGGUGAAAUGCGUAGAUAUCUGGAGGAACACCGGUGGCGAAGGCGGCAUCCUGGACUACUACUGACGCUGAGUGAGCGAAAGCCAGGGGAGCAAACGGG
rnacentral:rRNA from 1 species